rnacentral:rRNA from 1 species
UACAGAGGGUGCGAGCGUUGUCCGGAAUUAUUGGGCGUAAAGAGCUUGUAGGCGGUUUGUCGCGUCUGCUGUGAAAUUUCGGGGCUCAACCCCGAACUUGCAGUGGGUACGGGCAGACUAGAGUGUGGUAGGGGAGACUGGAAUUCCUGGUGUAGCGGUGAAAUGCGCAGAUAUCAGGAGGAACACCGAUGGCGAAGGCAGGUCUCUGGGCCACUACUGACGCUGAGAAGCGAAAGCAUGGGGAGCGAACAGG